AUUGAACGCUGGCGGCAGGCCUAACACAUGCAAGUCGAACGAGUGGCGGACGGGUGAGUAAUGUCUGGGAAACUGCCUGAUGGAGGGGGAUAACUACUGGAAACGGUAGCUAAUACCGCAUACCAUCAGAUGUGCCCAGAUGGGAUUAGCUUGUUGGUGGGGUAACGGCUCACCAAGGCGACGAUCCCUAGCUGGUCUGAGAGGAUGACCACGCGUACUGGAACGGAGACACGGUCCAGACUCCUACGGGAGGCAGCAGUGGGGAAUAUGACAAAGUGGGGGAAAGCCUGGUGCAGCGAUGCCGAGUGUAUGAAGAAGGCCUUGGGGUUGUAAAGUACUUUCAUCGGGGAGGCGUUACCCGCAGAAGAAGCACCGGCUAACUCCGUGCCAGCAGCCGCGGUAAUAC
rnacentral:rRNA from 1 species